rnacentral:rRNA from 1 species
UUGUGCGGUCAUAUUAACAUUAAUGCAUCGGAUCCUAUCAGAACUCUAAAGUUAAGCAUGCUCGGACAAGAGUAGAAUUAGGAUAAGUGACCUCCUAGGAAGUCCUUAUGUCGAACACA